GACGAACGCUGGCGGCGUGCUUAACACAUGCAAGUCGAACGGUGAAGCGCCUUCCUUUUUGGUGGGUGUGGAUGAGUGGCGAACGGGUGAGUAACACGUGAGUAACCUGCCCCCUUCUUCUGGAUAACCGCAUGAAAGUGUGGCUAAUACGGGAUAUUCUGGGUCUGUCGCAUGAUGGGUCUGGGAAAGAUAUUGUUUCGGUGGGGGAUGGGCUCGCGGCCUAUCAGCUUGUUGGUGGGGUGAUGGCCUACCAAGGCGGUGACGGUUAGCCGGCCUGAGAGGGUGGACGGUCACACUGGGACUGAGACCCGGCCCAGACUGCUACGGGAGGCAGCAGUGGGGAAUAUUGCACAAUGGGCGCAAGCCUGAUGCAGCGACGCCGCGUGAGGGAUGGAGGCCUUCGGGUUGUGAACCUCUUUCGCCAGUGAAGCAGGCCUGCCUCGUUUGUGGGUGGGUUGACGGUAGCUGGAUAAGAAGCGCCGGCUAACUACGUG
rnacentral:rRNA from 1 species